AUGUCAGAGAAUCAACAAGAAGUAGAUCCAGACACUAUUACAGAUGUGGAAGCUGUUAUAGAUACAGAGGAAGAACUUAUUAAACAAUGUGAAGAAAUGUGGAAAGAUAUAGAAGACUGUUAGAAUAAACUAUCGGUUAUUGGAACGGAGACAUUCACUAACUCAAAUGCUCAGCUCUCGGGCAAAAUGUUUGACUGCUGCUCUUGGUCAAUGGAACAGAAGAAAACCAGAAAUUAUUUCUCUAAUUGAAGAUGGUUUGUUAGUAUUAGGAAAAGAAGAGUUCAAAAAAAUUGAGAUGUGAUCUUGAAAUGGUACUAUCUACCAUUCAAUCAAAGAAUGAAAAGUUAAAAGAAGACUUAGAAAGGGAGCAGCAAAUGCUGGAUGGAAACUCUUAAUAUCUUACACAGUGAUUGAAAAGUCAGGUUGUAACACUUACUGAAUCGAGGGUCUUUAAUAGACUGAAAGCUGAGAUCUGUAGUAUAAAGGAAUUUAAGGAGAAGCUCUUGCUUACUGUGGGUGAUUUUUUUAGAAGAUCUUUUUCCUCUGCCUGAUGGAAGUACUCAGAAGAAAAGGAAAAACAUUCAAGACUUGAAAGCACAGCUGAUAACACUGAAUGAAAUGUUAGAAGUA
rnacentral:lncRNA from 1 species